CCUAACUUCUAAAUAAAUUCUUACUGAGAUAGUCUAACUAUAUUCUUAUCUAUGCUAAACAGCACGGUGAGAUGUGAAGGGUAAAGCGCCACUUAUUGAUUGUUUGUUUUGGAAGUAUUCGUACUAUCAAAGACCAAAAAGAACCACCUCUGCUGUUAUUUUGUUGCCUUUUUCAGGGGAGAUGGCCCUGUGUAUGAUACACCCAUUAAGAAUUCCUGCUUGAGGGUAGAACUUUAAGGGUAUUCUCCACCUUAAAACUGAUGCUAGAUGUUCUGUUGUUGGUGGUGGGUUGUUUUAUUUUGUUGUUGUUUGUUUGUUUGUUUUUUAAAUGAAACCUCUCUGUGACACUGUGGGUGGCUGGGCAUGUUGUAAUCCUGUCAUGCACUUGGGUGCCCAAACUGCAAAGAGUCUCUUAAUUUUUAAGCAGGAAGACGAAUUACUUUACCUGAACGGAAAUUGGGCUGCUUCAUUGGCUUUGGAUGAUGCCAUCCAAGUUGGCUGAGAGGAAAAGCAGAAGCUCAAAUUCCUCCAAGUGUGAUAAAGUAAAUCUCUGGUGGAGCAGGUCACAAUUUGAAGCUUUUCUGUGUAAUUAUUAGAGACUGAAAACUUCAUUAAAAAGAAAAAGUCAAGAUUAUUCUAUGAUCCUAAGAAUCUCAAUGCAAGGACAUCGGCAUCAUUGAUGCCCCAGAAAUGAAGAAAAGUUUUCAAGUACAUCUAAAUAUCAUCCAACACCUGAGAGGAUUUGAUCAAAGAGACAAAGUCAAGCUCAUCGCAGUGGAAAUUCAAGAGAUUAUGGACACUGAAACAAGAAAUUAGUAUGUGAGGAAAAGCUUUUUCACCAUAAGGACAGUGAAACAGAGGAAGAGGCUGCCCAGUGAGGAUGUAAGUUUUCCAUCUCUGAGAGUUUUUCAAAAGCCAUCUGGAUCAUAAACUGCAGAGUUCACCUAAUUUCAAUCAAGGGUUGGAACAGAGACUUACUGAGGUCUUUUGUGAACUGUGUUUUCUUAUGAUCAUCUACUGUACUAUACCGUAUCCGCAGUUAAUUUUCUCUUUUCCAGAGAGAUUAGUCUUUUUUACACGUAAACAAUAUGUGUAUUGUAUAACUUCAAUCAUUUUAGUUGCACUUCCUUGUUUUACUGUACCCUUUCUAAUACAGGGCAACAAGCUGCACAUGGUUUCCAAGAGAGCAGGCACUGCAAAUUAAUUCUAUGUUUAGUGGCAUUUACAUCUUUGUUCCUUAGUCCUUCAGCAGUAAUUUCUUACCAGUCUGUUUGCCUUGUAAAUGGCACUUCACUUUGGAUUUGAUAUAUUCAUAGGAUAUAUAUAAUAAUACAAAAGCUGUCUGUGAAGAUUUGUCAAGUAGUUUCAUUAAAUUUAGACCCCAUCAUUUUGUAAUUGUGAUUAAAUUUGGAUUUUCCUGUAUGUAUUUCUUUGUGUAUGUUGACUCAGUUUCUUGUUUAUCCAAUAUUCUUCUACACUACUUUAAGUUUUGAAGUGCACUGAAUAUUGCUGUAUCAUCAGAAAGCUUCAUUACAGAGCGAAAAAUAAAAGAAAUUAUAUAUUUUAGUCUCAUGUUAUACUGUUGCCUGUUUUUAAGGCACCUUAAAAUUUCAUAGAAAGUAAAAAGUUGCUGAAAAUGAUGUAGAGCAAACAAGAAUGAAGACAGAUUUUUUUUUAAACAAAUGCCCAUACUUCUCACCUUUUAAAUACUUAAUUGUUAAAAUUUUAGACCUAACUUGCCACAUCUUAGGCCAGUUUCUUUUUAUUUUAAUUGAACACGGGUCCCAUUUCUGCACGAUGACUCUUAUGUUAGCUUUUUUACCUCUGAAUUUUAACAAUGAUGCUGCUCUAUUGUUUCUUUCAAGGUCAUUUGAAUUGAUUGAAUAUGUCUAUUUAAAGAUUCUACUGUAAUAUGCCUCCAUAUUUGUUGGUUGAUUCUAAUCAUUUUCCAUUAAUAAAAUUUCUAGAGUAAUUCGGUAAUAGA